rnacentral:rRNA from 1 species
GAUGAACGCUAGCUACAGGCUUAACACAUGCAAGUCGAGGGGCAGCACAGUGUAGCAAUACAUGGGUGGCGACCGGCGCACGGGUGCGUAACGCGUAUCCAACCUUCCCGUUACUCUUGGAUAGCCUUCCGAAAGGGAGAUUAAUACAAGAUGGUAUUCAAAUUCCGCAUGUUAUUUGAAUUAAAGAUUUAUCGGUAACGGAUGGGGAUGCGUGACAUUAGAUAGUAGGCGGGGUAACGGCCCACCUAGUCUACGAUGUCUAGGGGUUCUGAGAGGAAGGUCCCCCACACUGGAACUGAGACACGGUCCAGACUCCUACGGGAGGCAGCAGUGAGGAAUAUUGGUCAAUGGUCGGAAGACUGAACCAGCCAAGUAGCGUGAAGGAUGAAGGUUCUAUGGAUUGUAAACUUCUUUUAUACGGGAAUAAAACACCUUACGUGUAGGGUCUUGUAUGUACCGUAUGAAUAAGCAUCGGCUAACUCCGUGCCAGCCGCCGCAGUAAAAC